GGCUCAGAUUGAACGCUGGCGGCAUGCCUUACACAUGCAAGUCGAACGGUAACGGGCCUUCGGGCGCCGACGAGUGGCGAACGGGUGAGUAAUGCAUCGGAACGUACCUUUCAGUGGGGGAUAACGUAGCGAAAGUUACGCUAAUACCGCAUAUUCUGUGAGCAGGAAAGCAGGGGGAUCGCAAGACCUUGCGCUGAUUGAGCGGCCGAUGUCAGAUUAGCUAGUUGGUGAGGUAAAGGCUCACCAAGGCGACGAUCUGUAGCGGGUCUGAGAGGAUGAUCCGCCACACUGGAACUGAGACACGGUCCAGACUCCUACGGGAGGCAGCAGUGGGGAAUUUUGGACAAUGGGGGCAACCCUGAUCCAGCCAUGCCGCGUGAGUGAAGAAGGCCUUCGGGUUGUAAAGCUCUUUCGGCCGGGAAGAAAUCGUAUGGGCUAAUACCCUGUGCGGAUGACGGUACCGGCAUAAGAAGCACCGGCUAACUACGUG
rnacentral:rRNA from 1 species